ACUCUAAUCAGUGAAACUGAUCUUCCCGUGAAGAAGCGGGAAUAUAUAUAUAAGACGAGAAGACCCCAUGGAGCUUUAAACCCAACAGCACCUAUUCUUUUUAAAUCCACCCAUUCAUAUAGUAAAUGCUUGUUUGUUUUAGGUUGGGGUGACCGCGGAGUAAAAAUUAACCUCCACGAAAAAGGGCAUAAAAGCCUUAUCAAAGAAUUACACUUCUAUGAAUUAGUAAACUAAUUUUUGAUGAUCCGAUAUUCGAUCAACGAACCAAGUUACCCUGGGGAUAACAGCGCAAUCCACCUCAAGAGCUCCUAUCGACAAGUGGGUUUACGACCUCGAUGUUGGAUCAGGGUACCCCAGUGGUGCAGCAGCUACUAAAGGUUCGUUUGUUCAACGAUUAAAACCCU
rnacentral:rRNA from 1 species